rnacentral:rRNA from 1 species
GUACACAAAAAUGCACAUAUUGUGAGCUCGAUGAGUAGGGCGGGACACGUGGUAUCCUGUCUGAAUAUGGGGGGACCAUCCUCCAAGGCUAAAUACUCCUGACUGACCGAUAGUGAACCAGUACCGUGAGGGAAAGGCGAAAAGAACCCCGGCGAGGGGAGUGAAAAAGAACCUGAAACCGUGUACGUACAAGCAGUGGGAGCCUCUUAAUGGGGUGACUGCGUACCUUUUGUAUAAUGGGUCAGCGACUUAUAUUCUGUAGCAAGGUUAACCGAAUAGGGGAGCCGAAGGGAAACCGAGUCUUAACUGGGCGUUAAGUUGCAGGGUAUAGACCCGAAACCCGGUGAUCUAGCCAUGGGCAGGUUGAAGGUUGGGUAACACUAACUGGAGGACCGAACCGACUAAUGUUGAAAAAUUAGCGGAUGACUUGUGGCUGGGGGUGAAAGGCCAAUCAAACCGGGAGAUAGCUGGUUCUCCCCGAAAGCUAUUUAGGUAGCGCCUCGUGAAUUCAUCUCCGGGGGUAGAGCACUGUUUCGGCAAGGGGGUCAUCCCGACUUACCAACCCGAUGCAAACUGCGAAUACCGGAGAAUGUUAUCACGGGAGACACACGGCGGGUGCUAACGUCCGUCGUGAAGAGGGAAACAACCCAGACCGCCAGCUAAGGUCCCAAAGUCAUGGUUAAGUGGGAAACGAUGUGGGAAGGCCCAGACAGCCAGGAUGUUGGCUUAGAAGCAGCCAUCAUUUAAAGAAAGCGUAAUAGCUCACUGGUCGAGUCGGCCUGCGCGGAAGAUGUAACGGGGCUAAACCAUGCACCGAAGCUGCGGCAGCGACACUAUGUGUUGUUGGGUAGGGGAGCGUUCUGUAAGCCUGUGAAGGUGGCCUGUGAGGGUUGCUGGAGGUAUCAGAAGUGCGAAUGCUGACAUAAGUAACGAUAAAGCGGGUGAAAAGCCCGCUCGCCGGAAGACCAAGGGUUCCUGUCCAACGUUAAUCGGGGCAGGGUGAGUCGACCCCUAAGGCGAGGCCGAAAGGCGUAGUCGAUGGGAAACAGGUUAAUAUUCCUGUACUUGGUGUUACUGCGAAGGGGGGACGGAGAAGGCUAUGUUGGCCGGGCGACGGUUGUCCCGGUUUAAGCGUGUAGGCUGGUUUUCCAGGCAAAUCCGGAAAACCAAGGCUGAGGCGUGAUGACGAGGCACUACGGUGCUGAAGCGACAAAUGCCCUGCUUCCAGGAAAAGCCUCUAAGCAUCAGGUAACAUCAAAUCGUACCCCAAACCGACACAGGUGGUCAGGUAGAGAAUACCAAGGCGCUUGAGAGAACUCGGGUGAAGGAACUAGGCAAAAUGGUGCCGUAACUUCGGGAGAAGGCACGCUGAUAUGUAGGUGAAGCGACUUGCUCGUGGAGCUGAAAUCAGUCGAAGAUACCAGCUGGCUGCAACUGUUUAUUAAAAACACAGCACUGUGCAAACACGAAAGUGGACGUAUACGGUGUGACGCCUGCCCGGUGCCGGAAGGUUAAUUGAUGGGGUUAGCGGUAACGCGAAGCUCUUGAUCGAAGCCCCGGUAAACGGCGGCCGUAACUAUAACGGUCCUAAGGUAGCGAAAUUCCUUGUCGGGUAAGUUCCGACCUGCACGAAUGGCGUAAUGAUGGCCAGGCUGUCUCCACCCGAGACUCAGUGAAAUUGAACUCGCUGUGAAGAUGCAGUGUACCCGCGGCAAGACGGAAAGACCCCGUGAACCUUUACUAUAGCUUGACACUGAACAUUGAGCCUUGAUGUGUAGGAUAGGUGGGAGGCUUUGAAGUGUGGACGCCAGUCUGCAUGGAGCCGACCUUGAAAUACCACCCUU